rnacentral:rRNA from 1 species
GGAUUCCCCUAGUAACUGCGAGUGAAGCGGGAAAAGCUCAAAUUUAAAAUCUGGUGGUCUUUGGCCAUCCGAGUUGUAAUCUAGAGAAGUGUUAUCCGCGCUGGACCGUGUACAAGUCCCCUGGAAUGGGGCGUCAUAGAGGGUGAGAAUCCCGUCUUUGACACGGACUACCAGGGCUUUGUGAUGCACUCUCAAAGAGUCGAGUUGUUUGGGAAUGCAGCUCAAAAUGGGUGGUAAAUUCCAUCUAAAGCUAAAUAUUGGCGAGAGACCGAUAGCGAACAAGUACCGUGAGGGAAAGAUGAAAAGAACUUUGGAAAGAGAGUUAAACAGUACGUGAAAUUGUUGAAAGGGAAACGCUUGAAGUCAGUCGCGUCUGCCAGGGAUCAACCUUACUUUUGUGAGGCGUACUUCCUGGUUGAUGGGUCAGCAUCAGUUUUGGUCGCUGGAUAAAGGUCAGAGAAAUGUGGCACCUUCGGGUGUGUUAUAGUCUUUGAUCAGAUACAGUGGCUGGGACUGAGGAACUCAGCGCCGCAAGGCUGUCUUAGGAUGCUGGCAAAAUGGCUUUAAUCGACCCGUCUUGAAACACGGACCAAGGAGUCUAACAUGCCUGCGAGUGUUUGGGUGGAAAACCCGAGCGCGUAAUGAAAGUGAAAGUUGGGAUCCCUGUCAUGGGGAGCACCGACGCCCAUACCAGAAGUUUACGGACGGAUAUGCGGUAGAGCAUGUAUGUUGGGACCCGAAAGAUGGUGAACUAUGCCUGAAUAGGGCGAAGCCAGAGGAAACUCUGGUGGAGGCUCGUAGCGAUUCUGACGUGCAAAUCGAUCGUCGAAUUUGGGUAUAGGGCGAAAGACUAAUCGAG